rnacentral:lncRNA from 1 species
AUCCAAAGGAAGAGGGCGCUCCUGAGGCAGGUGUGGGCAUGGGCACCGUAGCCCGUAGCCGCAGCUCCUCCACUCCUGGCUUGGGCCUCUAAGCCUCACUUCCUCUCCCGUAGAACACUCAUGAGACACACCUGCCUCGUGUGGGCCUGGGCAGCUUGCUGUUACUAAUAAAACAGCAGCAACACAGGACAGCUUCACUUCCUGAAACUCCCUCUGUCACGUGCUUUGCAUGAAUCCUCACACCGUCUCACCAGGGGCGCUCUCCCAGUUUCACCAGUGACUUGGUGACAACCAGCAUCGCUCACGAAGCGUCAGCCAGAUUCUGCGAGGUCUAACUCACAUAUACUUGUAUUCCAAGGAUACAAGUGGAGGACAGAAAUGAGGCAGAAGUGAUAAGUUGAAGAGCACGGCCAAGAAUUUUCCAAAACAGUGGAGAAACCUGGCAGACAUCAUCUUAGCCAAGUGGUAAACAUUAACAUCAGCAGUAAUGGGACAAGUUGACAUUGUGUGACUCCUAAUAUGGUACACUGAGAAGAAUGUCGCAUCGUUUCUGUGGUAUUCCUGCCAGAGAUGCAUAAAUCAUGAGGACACAGCAGACAAAUCCAAACUGAAGACAACCUACAAAGUCAUUGACCUGUAUUUUUCAAAAAUCUUGGCCAGAGAAGGGAAGCCUGAAGAAUUGUUCUAGAAUAAAUUAGACUGAAGAGACUCCUUGAAGGCGACUGAAUUGGAUGCUGGGCCUGUAAAGUCUCAUCUCCUGCCAAUGAAUAGUGCAAAGUUCCAGAGAAGCCUGGAGGGAUGGAAUUCUGAGCACAGAAGGAACAUCUUUCAGCAGUGAGAAGGAAAGGAGGAUUAGGCAGCUAUAACAUUAGGUGAUCUGCUGAGAGCGAGGAGCUAGAAGGGAAGCUUGAAGUCUGAGGACAGUGCAACUAAACAUCAAAAUGCACUGGAAUUGUCUAACGGCAUUGAGGUUGGUGACUGAAUUUAUAGUGUUACUUACACCCCCAGUAGUUCUUAAAAAAUGCUUCCUGGCCUGGCUGUAAGCAUAAAGGAGAGGCAUAGUUAGGUUCACCUAGAGUUUGGAGGGUUUGUUUUGUUUUGUUUCUUGAAACAGAGUCAGGCUGGGCACGGUUGCUCAUGCCUGUAAUCCCAGCAC